AUUGAACGCUGGCGGCAUGCCUUACACAUGCAAGUCGAACGGUAACAGGUCUUCGGAUGCUGACGAGUGGCGAACGGGUGAGUAAUACAUCGGAACGUGCCUAGUAGUGGGGGAUAACUACUCGAAAGAGUGGCUAAUACCGCAUGAGAUCUACGGAUGAAAGCAGGGGAUCGCAAGACCUUGCGCUACUAGAGCGGCCGAUGGCAGAUUAGGUAGUUGGUGGGAUAAAAGCUUACCAAGCCGACGAUCUGUAGCUGGUCUGAGAGGACGAUCAGCCACACUGGGACUGAGACACGGCCCAGACUCCUACGGGAGGCAGCAGUGGGGAAUUUUGGACAAUGGGCGCAAGCCUGAUCCAGCAAUGCCGCGUGCAGGAUGAAGGCCUUCGGGUUGUAAACUGCUUUUUUACGGAACGAAAAGCCCUGGGUUAAUACCCUGGGGUCAUGACGGUACCGUAAGAAUAAGCACCGGCUAACUACGUGCCAGCCGCCGCAGUAAUAC
rnacentral:rRNA from 1 species